CGUAGGGCGCAAGCGUUGUCCGGAAUUAUUGGGCGUAAAGAGCUUGUAGGUGGCUUGUCGCGUCUGCCGUGAAACCCGAGGCUCAACCUCGGGCGUGCGGUGGGUACGGGCAGGCUAGAGUGUGGUAGGGGAGACUGGAACUCCUGGUGUAGCGGUGAAAUGCGCAGAUAUCAGGAAGAACACCGAUGGCGAAGGCAGGUCUCUGGGCCAUUACUGACACUGAGAAGCGAAAGCAUGGGGAGCGAACAGGAUU
rnacentral:rRNA from 1 species